rnacentral:lncRNA from 1 species
GUUAAUGGUGUUCCUCUAAGCAACAUUUUGCUACUCAUCUUUAAACUUACAAAACCCUUGUCCCUCUGAAUAACAGAACUCUAUUUUUUGCUUUAUCAGCAAAAACUUUUUAAUUUCAAUUUAGUCCCUACUCCCUACUUAAGUAGCCAGGAGAGUAUUUUUGAAAUUUACGGGGGCAAACGAUGACUUUCAGUGGGUGUGAGAAGAAAAUCUCAUAUUUAUUUAUUUAUUUAUGGGUUGGGCCAUUAAGCCCAAAUUAACA